AACGAACGCUGGCGGCAGGCUUAACACAUGCAAGUCGAACGCUCCGCAAGGGGGGUGGCAGCCGGGUGAGUAACGCGUGGGAACAUACCCUUUUCUACGGAAUAGCUCUGGGAAACUGGAAUUAAUACCGUAUACGCCCUACGGGGGAAAGAUUUAUCGGGGAAGGAUUGGCCCGCGUUGGAUUAGCUAGUUGGUGGGGUAAAGGCCUACCAAGGCGACGAUCCAUAGCUGGUCUGAGAGGAUGAUCAGCCACAUUGGGACUGAGACACGGCCCAAACUCCUACGGGAGGCAGCAGUGGGGAAUAUUGGACAAUGGGCGCAAGCCUGAUCCAGCCAUGCCGCGUGAGUGAUGAAGGCCUUAGGGUUGUAAAGCUCUUUCACCGAUGAAGAUAAUGACGGUAGUCGGAGAAGAAGCCCCGGCUAACUUCGUG
rnacentral:rRNA from 1 species